UACGUAGGGGGCUAGCGUUGUCCGGAAUCAUUGGGCGUAAAGCGCGUGUAGGCGGCCCGGUAAGUCCGCUGUGAAAGUCCAGGGCUCAACCCUGGGAUGCCGGUGGAUACUGUCGGGCUCGAGUCCGGAAGAGGCGAGUGGAAUUCCUGGUGUAGCGGUGAAAUGCGCAGAUAUCAGGAGGAACACCAAUGGCGAAGGCAGCUCGCUGGGACGGUACUGACGCUGAGACGCGAAAGCGUGGGGAGCGAACAGG
rnacentral:rRNA from 1 species